rnacentral:rRNA from 1 species
CCUACGGGAGGCAGCAGUGGGGGAUAUUGCACAAUGGAGGAAACUCUGAUGCAGCGACGCCGCGUGAGGGAAGACGGUCUUCGGAUUGUAAACCUCUGUCUUUGGGGAAGAAAAUGACGGUACCCAAAGAGAAAGCCCCGGCAAACUCCGUUCCAGCAGCCGCGGUAAUACGUAGGGGGCGAGGGUUGUCCGGAAUUACGUGGGGUAAGGGGAGCGUAGGCGGGCGAGAAAGUUGAAUGUUAAAUCUACCGGCUUAACUGGUAGCUGCGUUCGAAACUUCUUGUCUUGAGUGAAGUAGAGGCAGGCGGAAUUCCUAGUGUAGCGGUGAAAUGCGUAGAUAUUAGGAGGAACACCAGUGGCGAAGGCGGCCUGCUGGGCUUUAACUGACGCUGAGGCUCGAAAGCGUGGGGAGCAAACAGGAUUAGAUACCCGGGUAGUC